rnacentral:misc_RNA from 1 species
UCGUGGUGGGGCGUAUAAGACAGCAAUGGCCGCUCCCGUGCGUAUAAACAUGAAAAAUGACAGAUCGCACUAAUUCUACGCAUGAAAUUAACCCAAUGUCUAACAAACAAGACUUAUAAAGACACGUAUAGUAAAGAACGGCGCGAAAGACGCACAGCAAGGAAGCAACUUACUCGUAUUAUAGACAUGAAGCUCGUCAACAAUACCCUCAUUUCCACCGCCGAAAACGACCAUAAGGUCCUU